GCUAGUAAGCGGAGGAAUGAGGAUGUGAAGCCAAGUCUGGAUGCUUCUAGAGCCCACGCCUUUAUCCUCUCAGGAUGUCUGAGACUAGAUGGCCCGGAGACAGGAAUUCACAGUGCCUGAAUUUCAGACUGCAGUGUUUAUUGAACACCUGCUAUACGCUGGGCUUCAGAGAUGCUAUGGUGAAAAGUGAGCCAAACAGACACAGACGUUUCCUCUUGGAGCUUGCAUUUCCAGUAGUCCACAAGGCAUCCUCACCCAGAUGUUUCACCCGUACAUCAAAACAACUCAGUCCUGUCAUUCAAGUUCCACAUCUCACGCCAGCUACUCUCUGAUGCUUUCCGCAACUUCUUCAGCAGCAGGACAAUCAAUGUCUACACCAAAGAAGCAUUCCUGAUUACCCUGAAUAAUGUGC
rnacentral:lncRNA from 1 species